rnacentral:rRNA from 1 species
GAUGAACGCUGGCGGCGUGCCUAAUACAUGCAAGUCGAGCGAACAGACGAGGAGCUUGCUCCUCUGACGUUAGCGGCGGACGGGUGAGUAACACGUGGAUAACCUACCUAUAAGACUGGGAUAACUUCGGGAAACCGGAGCUAAUACCGGAUAAUAUAUUGAACCGCAUGGGUCAAUAGUGAAAGACGGUUUUGCUGUCACUUAUCGAUGGAUCCGCGCCGCAUUAGCUAGUUGGUAAGGUAACGGCUUACCAAGGCAACGAUGCGUAGCCGACCUGAGAGGGUGAUCGGCCACCUGGGAACGGGGACACGGACCAGGCUCCUACGGGAGGCAGCAGUAGGGAAUCGUCCGCAAUGGGCGAAAGCCUGACGGAGCAACGCCGCGUGAGUGAUGAAGGUCUUCGGAUCGUAAAACUCUGUUAUUAGUGAAGAACAAAUGUGUAAGUAACUAUGCACGUCUUGACGGUACCGAAUCAGAAAGCCACGGCUAACUACGUG